GACGACGGCAUCCUACAACACAACUCCCAUCGUCCGAUCAUCAUCUCGGAAGAACCGAGUGCUCCGUCAGCACAGCAGGUACUUGUUGUGCGGGUCCGGGGUGCACGAGCGGGACUGAGUAUCGACCCGAGCUGCAGAGCAGUUGUGUGCGCCACUCAACCUGUCCCCCUCCAUCUCUGAUGCAACCCGGUCUGGGGGUUGUAUCAGCCCCGGAGGAGUAUAUAAAUCGCUCGAUUGCUUUGUUUUUCUUUCCUCCUCUCGCGUUCCUACUCCCUCUUCGUGAAUCUGACACGGUUCGCAUCUUCCACGCCGAUGACAACGACAUAAAAAAACGGAGAUGGUAAAGAAAAAAAAAGGCGCAGAGGACGGAGCGCGGACCCCGCGUGUGUGUGAAGCUCCAGCUCCUCCUCCAGCUCCUGGAACGUCACACUCUAAAUGUCAAGGGACAAUUUUGUCCGUAGAUUU